rnacentral:rRNA from 1 species
AAGGUAGCAUAAUCAUUAGUCCUUUGAUUGGGGACUGGAAUGAAAGAUUGGACGAGAGAAAAUCUGUCUUUUUAAAUUGAAAUUAAUGUUAGUAUGAGGAGGUAUAAGGGACGAGAAGACCCUAUUAAGUUUGAUUAUUUUGUUGGGGUAAUAGUAAUGAUAUUGAGAUUAAAUUACUAUAGGGAUAACAGCGUGAAAUUUUUGGAGAGAUCAUAUUGAUGAGAAGUUUUGCGACCUCGAUGUUGAAUUAAAUCUAUUUGGAGUAGGACUUAUAAUAUUUUACA